UUACUCUGGUUUCUCUUCAGAUCGUAUAAAUCUUUUGCCUUUUAGUAAAGAUUUCCGUGGAGAGCUUCAGUGACUUCUGAAAAUGGCACAUAGGAUACUAAGUC
rnacentral:snRNA from 1 species